rnacentral:rRNA from 1 species
UACGAAAGGGGCUAGCGUUGUUCGGAAUUACUGGGCGUAAAGCGCACGUAGGCGGCUUGGCAAGUUGGGGGUGAAAUCCCCGGGCUCAACCCGGGAACUGCCUUCAAAACUGCUUGGCUAGAGGAUGCGAGAGGUUGGCGGAAUUCCGAGUGUAGAGGUGAAAUUCGUAGAUAUUCGGAAGAACACCAGUGGCGAAGGCGGCCAACUGGCGCAUUUCUGACGCUGAGGUGCGAAAGCGUGGGGAGCAAACAGG